rnacentral:rRNA from 1 species
ACACAUGCAGUCGAGGGGUAACAGAUCUUCGGAUGCUGACGACCGGCGAACGGGUGAGUAACACGUAUGCAACUUACCCAUAACUCGGGAAUAGCCCAAAGAAAUUUGGAUUAAUACCCAAUAAUACAGGCGUACCGCAUGGUAUUCUUCGUUAAAGAAUAAUCGGUUAUGGAUAGGCAUGCGUUCUAUUAGGUAGUUGGUGAGGUAACGGCUCACCAAGCCGACGAUGGAUAGGGGAACUGAGAGGUUGUCCCCCCACACUGGUACUGAGACACGGACCAGACUCCUACGGGAGGCAGCAGUGAGGAAUAUUGGUCAAUGGACGAAAGUCUGAACCAGCCAAAUCGCGUGAAGGAAGAAGGUAUUAUGUAUCGUAAACUUCUUUUGUAAGAGAGUAAAGUGCACUACGUGUAGUGUAUUGCAAGUACCUUACGAAUAAGCAUCGGCUAAUUCCGUGCCAGCAGCCGCGGUAAUACGGAAGAUGCAAGUGUUAUCCGGAUUUAUUGGGUUUAAAGGGUGCGUAGGUGGUCUAAUAAGUCAGUGGUGAAAUCUCUUUUGCUUAACAAGGAAAUUGCCAUUGAAACUGUUAGACUUGAGAAUGGACGAGGUAGGCGGAAUUCGUAGUGUAGCGGUGAAAUGCAUAGAUAUUACGAAGAACUCCAAUAGUGUAGACUGCUUACCAGACCAUAUCUGACACUAAAGCACGAAAGUGUGGGUAUCAAACAGGAUUAGAUACCCUGGUAGUCCACACAGUAACGAUGAAUACUAACUGUUUGCGAUAUACAGCAAGUGGUCGAGCGAAAGCGUUAGUAUUCCACUGGGAGUAUGCGGCACGUGAACUCAAGGAAUGACGGGGCCGCACAGCGAGACAUGUGGUUAUCGAUAUACCAGAACUACCGGGCUCG